GAUGAACGCUGGCGGCGUGCCUAAUACAUGCAAGUCGAGCGAACAGACGAGGAGCUUGCUCCUUUGACGUUAGCGGCGGACGGGUGAGUAACACGUGGGUAACCUACCUAUAAGACUGGGAUAACUUCGGGAAACCGGAGCUAAUACCGGAUAAUAUUUCGAACCGCAUGGUUCGAUAGUGAAAGAUGGCUUUGCUAUCACUUAUAGAUGGACCUGCGCCGUAUUAGCUAGUUGGUAAGGUAACGGCUUACCAAGGCAACGAUACGUAGCCGACCUGAGAGGGUGAUCGGCCACACUGGAACUGAGACACGGUCCAGACUCCUACGGGAGGCAGCAGUAGGGAAUCUUCCGCAAUGGGCGAAAGCCUGACGGAGCAACGCCGCGUGAGUGAUGAUGGUCUUCGGAUCGUAAAACUCUGUUAUUAGGGAAGAACAAACGUGUAAGUAACUGUGCACGUCUUGACGGUACCUAAUCAGAAAGCCACGGCUAACUACGUG
rnacentral:rRNA from 1 species